AGUAAAAGUCGUAACAAGGUUUCCGUAGGUGAACCUGCGGAAGGAUCAUUAUCGUUGGGCUCCUGCCCAUUCGAGAUAACACCCUUGCCUUUUUGAGUACCUUUUCGUUUCCUCGGCAGGCACGCCUGCCAACGGGGACCCUUCAAAACGCUUUGUAAUACCUGUCAUUGUCUGAUAUAACAAGCAAAAAUCAAAACUUUCAACAACGGAUCUCUUGGUUCUGGCAUCGAUGAAGAACGCAGCGAAAUGCGAUAAGUAGUGUGAAUUGCAGAAUUCAGUGAAUCAUCGAAUCUCUGAACGCACAUUGCGCCCUUUGGUAUUCCUUAGGGCAUGCCUGUUCGAGCGUCAUUUAAACCUUCAAGCUCAGCUUGGUGAUGGGUGACUGUCCCCUCCCUUCGCGGGGGGACUCGCCUCAAAAACAUUGGCGGCCGGUACAUUGGCUUCGAGCGCAGCAGAAACGCGGUCUCGAGCCCGGUGGAUCGGCUCCCAUAAGCCUCAUUCUUUAUUUUGACCUCGGAUCAGGUAGGGAUACCCGCUGAACUUAAGCAUAUCAAUAAGCGGAGGAAAAGAAACCAACAGGGAUUGCCCCCAGUAACG
rnacentral:rRNA from 1 species